UUCCUCAAGACCCAGGAAACGCCUGUUCAUGUUAUAGCCUCUAUCAGUUGCUGCCAGCAUUUGGUGUGCGUAUGCGAGAGAACAUCGCAGUCGGCCCUCGAAAAACGAAUAUUGAAGAUGAACUUUAUGAUGGUAGUGGCAUUCCUGGUGUUCUGGACGCCGUACUGCGCUGUGUCUCUGCUUUCCAUUGUAGUGCCCG
rnacentral:lncRNA from 1 species